UGGGUUCUAUUCCCAAACCGUGUGUACAUACCUUUGUUGCUUUGGCAGGCCGCCUUUUAGGCGUCGGCUCCGGCUGACUGCGCCUGCCAGAGGACCCAAACUCGUUUGUUUAGUGAUGUCUGAGUACUAUAUAAUAGUUAAAACUUUCAACAACGGAUCUCUUGGUUCUGGCAUCGAUGAAGAACGCAGCGAAAUGCGAUAAGUAAUGUGAAUUGCAGAAUUCAGUGAAUCAUCGAAUCUUUGAACGCACAUUGCGCCCCUUGGUAUUCCGAGGGGCAUGCCUGUUCGAGCGUCAUUAUAACCACUCAAGCCUCGGCUUGGUCUUGGGGUUCGCGGUCUCGCGUCCCUUAAAACCAGUGGCGGUGCCGUCUGGCUCUAAGCGUAGUAAUUCUCUCGCUAUAGGGUCCCGGCGGUUGUCUGCCANAACCCCCCAUUUUUUACGGUUGACCUCGGAUCAGGUAGGGAUACCCGCUGAACUUAAGCAUAUCAA
rnacentral:rRNA from 1 species